AUCAGGGGCGGCACUGGGAAACCCUUUGCAGGGGAAACAAGUUGGUGAAACAUGUUAACACAGCCAAUAAGCAGCAAUAGAAAUUAGUUAGGCAAAGCUAUUCUCAUCACGGGCGGCAGCAGAGGCAGAGGCAGCGGCGGUGGCGGUGGCAGCGGUGGCCAUCGGGCGGCCAGAACCACAAAGGACCCAAUUAAAAAUCGGUUAAAUUUACAACAGCAACAAUUUCAACCCGUCGAGGACGUGGACGAGGACGAGCAGCGCCAGUGGCCAGAGUUGGAGUCGCCCCCGCAAAACUGGGGAGAGUGUACGACCAUCGCUCGGCUCCGGAAUGGAACGGACACCGCCCGCAUGGAGAUGGAGAUGGAAAACACGACCAUUUUGUGGUACUGCGUUGCUCUACGGUUCUCCAUUGUGGCAGCCAAAGGUAAGGAUACAGAAGGCAAACGUAAACACAGGAGGAACAUGCUUUGGCCAUGGCCCAGAGCCAGAGACAGACAGAGAGAGAGACCUGGGCACGGCAAGGGACAACAAUGUGAUAUAAUAUCGGGGCAUAAAGGGACACACAGGACAUAAGAAAGCUGGCCAACAAAACAAGCGAUUGGGGAGAAAUGAG